rnacentral:rRNA from 1 species
AUUGAACGCUGGCGGCAGGCUUAACACAUGCAAGUCGAGCGGGGGAAGGUAGCUUGCUACCGGACCUAGCGGCGGACGGGUGAGUAAUGCUUAGGAAUCUGCCCAUUAGUGGGGGACAACAUCUCGAAAGGGAUGCUAAUACCGCAUACGUCCUACGGGAGAAAGCAGGGGAUCUUCGGACCUUGCGCUAAUAGAUGAGCCUAAGUCGGAUUAGCUAGUUGGUGGGGUAAAGGCCUACCAAGGCGACGAUCUGUAGCGGGUCUGAGAGGAUGAUCCGCCACACUGGGACUGAGGCACGGCCCAGAAUCCUACGGGAGGCAGCAGUGGGGAAUAUUGGACAAUGGGGGGAACCCUGAUCCAGCCAUGCCGCGUGUGUGAAGAAGGCCUUAUGGUUGUAAAGCACUUUAAGCGAGGAGGAGGCUACUUUAGUUAAUACCUAGAGAUAGUGGACGUUACUCGCAGAAUAAGCACCGGCUAACUCUGUGCCAGCCGCCGCCGUAA